rnacentral:rRNA from 1 species
AUUUUUAGGACGUCGCGACCCGUUCGAUGUUGGUCGAAGGGUCAUAGUGAAGUUUGUUUCCCUUACAUUGGUUUUUCCGGUGUUUGUGGUGCAAUCCUGUGAUUUCCUGGCUAAUGUUGGACGGUAUGUCUUUUAAACCGGUUUACUUUAUGUAAUUGGUGGUCAGCGACGAAUAUUCGGUUCUCUUUCCGACCCGUCUUGAAACACGGACCAAGGAGUCUAACAUGUACGCGAGUCAUUGGGUUAUAUCGUAUAUUGAUAUUAAUUAAAAAACCUAUAGGCGUAAUGAAAGUAAAUUGCGAGAGGACUAUGUUCGAGUCACGUUUUUUGAAUUAUUUCAGAACCGGACAUACGCACUCUCGGGGCAUCCAAAUGAUACGGAUUUAUUCGAAUCUGGGUGCACCUAUAGCGUACACGUUGGUACCCGAAAGAUGGUGAACUAUGCCUGGCCAGGAUGAAGUCAGGGGAAACCCUGAUGGAGGUCCGCAGCGAUUCUGACGUGCAAAUCGAUCGU